AGGAUGAACGCUGGCGGUCUGCUUAACACAUGCAAGUCGAACGGAGUACCUCGGUACUUAGUGGCGGACGGGUGAGUAACGCGUGAGAAUCUGCCCUUAGGUCGGGGACAACCAUUGGAAACGAUGGCUAAUACCGGAUAAGCCGAGAGGUAAAAGAUUAAUUGCCUAGGGAAGAGCUCGCGUCUGAUUAGCUAGUUGGUGAGGUAAAGGCUCACCAAGGCAUCGAUCAGUAGCUGGUCUGAGAGGAUGAUCAGCCACACUGGGACUGAGACACGGCCCAGACUCCUACGGGAGGCAGCAGUGGGGAAUUUUCCGCAAUGGGCGAAAGCCUGACGGAGCAAGACCGCGUGAGGGAGGAAGGCUCUUGGGUUGUAAACCUCUUUCUUGGGGAAGAACAAAUGACGGUACCCAAGGAAUCAGCAUCGGCUAACUCCGUGCCAGCAGCCGC
rnacentral:rRNA from 1 species